AAAUGAAUUGACGGGGACCCGCACAAGCGGUGGAUUAUGUGGAUUAAUUCGAUGCAACGCGAAAAACCUUACCUACCCUUGACAUGUCCGGAACCCCGAUGAGAGUUGGGGGUGCCCGAAAGGGAGCCGGAACACAGGUGCUGCAUGGCUGUCGUCAGCUCGUGUCGUGAGAUGUUGGGUUAAGUCCCGCAACGAGCGCAACCCUUGCCAUUAGUUGCCACACUUCGGGUGGGCACUUUAAUGGGACUGCCGGUGACAAACCGGAGGAAGGUGGGGAUGACGUCAAGUCCUCAUGGCCCUUAUGGGUAGGGCUUCACACGUAAUACAAUGGCGCAUACAGAGGGCUGCGAAGCGGCGACGCGGAGCCAAUCCCAGAAAGUGCGUCGUAGUCCGGAUUGUUCUCUGCAACUCGAGAGCAUGAAGUCGGAAUCGCUAGUAAUCGCGGAUCAGCAUGUCGCGGUGAAUACGUUCCCGGGUCUUGUACACACCGCCCGU
rnacentral:rRNA from 1 species